GAACCGGAUUAGAUACCCUGGUAGUCCAUGCCGUAAACGUUGGGCACUAGGUGUGGGGGACAUUCCACGUUUUCCGCGCCGUAGCUAACGCAUUAAGUGCCCCGCCUGGGGAGUACGGCCGCAAGGCUAAAACUCAAAGGAAUUGACGGGGGCCCGCACAAGCGGCGGAGCAUGCGGAUUAAUUCGAUGCAACGCGAAGAACCUUACCAAGGCUUGACAUGAACCGGUAAUACCUGGAAACAGGUGCCCCGCUUGCGGUCGGUUUACAGGUGGUACAUGGUUGUCGUCAGCUCGUGUCGUGAGAUGUUGGGUUAAGUCCCGCAACGAGCGCAACCCUCGUUCUAUGUUGCCAGCGCGUUAUGGCGGGGACUCAUAGGAGACUGCCGGGGUCAACUCGGAGGAAGGUGGGGAUGACGUG
rnacentral:rRNA from 1 species